rnacentral:tRNA from 1 species
GCGAAUAUAGCUCAGUUGGCAGAGCACCUGGUUGUGGCCCAGGGGGUCGCAGGUUCAAACCCUGUUAUUCGCCCCA